rnacentral:rRNA from 1 species
GGGACUGAGAGGUUGACCCGGCGCAUCGGGACUGAGACACUGCCCGGACUCCUACGGGAGGCUGCAGUAACGAAUAUUGGGCAAUGGGCGAAAGCCUGACCCAGCGACGCCGCGUGUGGGAAGAAUGCCUUCGGGUUGUAAACCACUGUCAGGGAUUACCAACCAACCGGUGUGAAUAGCGCCGGGAGUUGAGGAGUCCCAGAGGAAGUCACGGCUAACUUCGUGCCAGCAGCCGCGGUAAUACGAAGGUGGCUAGCGUUGUUCGGAAUCACUGGGCUUAAAGAGCACGUAGGCGGAUGAUCAAGCGUCUUGUGAAAGCCCUCGGCUCAACCGGGGAAUUGCUUGGCGAACUGAUCAUCUUGAGGCAGGUAGGGGCGAGUGGAACUCUUGGUGGAGCGGUGGAAUGCUUAGAUAUCAAGAGGAACGCCAGAGGCGAAGGCGACUCGCUGGGCCUGACCUGACGCUGAGGUGCGAAAGCCAGGGGAGCGAACGGGAUUAGAUACCCCGGUAGUCCUGGCCCUAAACGAUGUCCACUAGGUCGGUGAGGUUCUAAUGCUUUGCUGGCCGAAACAAAAGCGUUAAGUGGACCGCCUGGGGAGUACGGUCGCAAGGCUAAAACUCAAAGGAAUUGACGGGGGCUCACACAAGCGGUGGAGCAUGUUGCUUAAUUCGAUGCAACGCGAAGAACCUUAUCCUGGGCUUGACAUACACGGAUGCCCUCCUGGAAACAGGUCGGGUUGCCCUUCGGGGUGAAACGUACACAGGUGCUGCAUGGCUGUCGUCAGCUCGUGUCGUGAGAUGUUGGGUUAAGUCCCGUAACGAGCGAAACCCUUGUCGCUAGUUGCCAGCGCGUAAUGGCGGGGACUCUAGCGAGACUGCCGGUGUUAAACCGGAGGAAGGUGGGGAUGACGUCAAGUCCUCAUGGCCUUUAUGCCCAGGGCUGCAAACGUGCUACAAUGGUAGGGACAGAGCGACGCAAGACCGUGAGGUGGAGCAAAUCGCAAAAACCCUGCCCCAGUUCGGAUCGGAGUCUGCAACUCGACUCCGUGAAGUCGGAAUCGCUAGUAAUCGCGCAUCAGCGUGGCGCGGUGAAUGUGUUCCUGAGCCUUGUACACACCGCCCGUCAAGUCAUGGAAGCUGGGAGCA